AACAUCGCGCACCUGCGGGAACCUGCGGAAGGAUCAUUACUGAGUCACGUGCUCAAACAACCCUUCUGUGGACCUGAAAUAAACCGUUGCCUCGGCGGGCGGUCCCCCCAAGCAAACCCCACGUGGUGGGUUAGGGGACCAGACAGUCCGGCACGCUUAAGGCGUCCGGCGCCAGCCGCUGGCCCCAAACAAUUAAACUCUAGUAACCUUUACCUUCUGAGUUUCAAUAUUUAAAAAUAA
rnacentral:misc_RNA from 1 species